GUGAAUUAAAAACUGAGUGAAUUAACUCAAUUACUUUGACAAUGGAUUAAAUGCAGCAAGCGGGAUAGGUAAAGAGUAAACAUGGAGUAGAGAGUUUAGAUGAGAGCGAGGACAAUGAAG